rnacentral:rRNA from 1 species
GCUGAGCACCAGCUUGCUGGUGUGGAUGAGUGGCGAACGGGUGAGUAAUACGUGAGUAACCUGCCCUUGACUCUGGGAUAAGCCCGGGAAACUGGGUCUAAUACUGGAUGCUACAUGUCACCGCAUGGUGGUGUGUGGAAAGGGUUUACUGGUCUUGGAUGGGCUCACGGCCUAUCAGCUUGUUGGUGAGGUAAUGGCUCACCAAGGCGACGACGGGUAGCCGGCCUGAGAGGGUGACCGGCCACACUGGGACUGAGACACGGCCCAGACUCCUACGGGAGGCAGCAGUGGGGAAUAUUGCACAAUGGGCGAAAGCCUGAUGCAGCGACGCCGCGUGAGGGAUGACGGCCUUCGGGUUGUAAACCUCUUUCAGCAGGGAAGAAGCCACAAGUGACGGUACCUGCAGAAGAAGCGCCGGCUAACUACGUGCCAGCAGCCGCGGUAAUACGUAGGGCGCAAGCGUUGUCCGGAAUUAUUGGGCGUAAAGAGCUCGUAGGCGGUUUGUCGCGUCUGCUGUGAAAGCCCGGGGCUUAACCCCGGGUGUGCAGUGGGUACGGGCAGACUAGAGUGCAGUAGGGGAGACUGGAAUUCCUGGUGUAGCGGUGGAAUGCGCAGAUAUCAGGAGGAACACCGAUGGCGAAAGCAGGUCUCUGGGCUGUUACUGACGCUGAGGAGCGAAAGCAUGGGGAGCGAACAGGAUUAGAUACCCUGGUAGUCCAUGCCGUAAACGUUGGGCACUAGUGUGGGGGACAUUCCACGUUUUCC